UGUAGCUCAGUUGGUAGAGCAUGGCGCUUGUAACGCCAGGAUAGUGGGUUUAAUUCCCAGGACCA
rnacentral:tRNA from 1 species